GUGAAUGUAAUUGUGAUGGUCGCUGUAGGAGAGAGAAAUAACAUCGUGGGAGAGACAAAAACUCAAAUGGGGAGGCCACAAUCAGCCUGGUACCAGCAACACAACCAGAGAAGGAAGUCAAGCAGGAUGUCAAUGAUGCUGUGCUUCAGGAGUGAGUUGCUGAGGUGCAGCAGUGGCCUGAAGGUAGAACAAUUCAUGUUUCGCUGUCUCUCUACUUCAGAAUUUCAUUGAUGUCAGUGGAGUCAUGUUUGUAACUUGCCCUUUGUUUGAGGACUCUGAUGAAGAUGAUGAAGAUAGUCCUAUUGCUGAGACCUCAGGUGACGACUAUGCUUUCUGAAAUCAUACACCACCCCUGUCUCUUUCUCUCUGUCUCUCUCUCCAGCAGGAGAGGUAAAAUGCCGCCACCACCUGCUUCAGGAGCAGCCUGGUCUCCUGAGGUUGACACCUGACCCCUCACCUCUGAACCUAUCCAGGGAAAUAUGAUUUGCCUGAUGACACUCUAGUUGAAAUUUCGGCACAUUUGUUGCCAUGUUUCCUCACCUCCAUUUCUUCCGGUCCUAGACUAUGGCGACAUCAUCAUCAAUUCAGAAAUUGAUCUGAGGACCUCUUUACUGAGGAAUGUGGUUGUUCUACAUGAUUGUUUGUAUUUUCUAUGCUGCUGUGAUUUAUGUGUAAUUGUGAGUUGCAAAAGAGUCUUUGGUCUCAAUGGGCCUGGUAAAAUAAAUGAAGUAAAGGUCUUAAUAAACAUUCAUUAAGCACUAACAGCUCUGUGUCUGUGUUUCAAUCGAUUACAUACAGUGGUUGCUCCACUAAAAGUUUUGCAAUUAUGCUGCAGG
ensembl:lncRNA